GCGCAGGCGCAGAUGCUGCGGUCAUCAGCGCGUUGGCGCGCCGCUGAUUCGUCCCUAGCCACGCGUUUGUAUCAGCCCCAGAAAUUCUAAAUAUCCGUGCAGGUUUCACGUGAGCUCUGCGACUCGAAUUCACAGCUGCCCUCAGCUGACACUGAAUCUGGCGCGUGGUCCUGGUGCCGUGGCGAAUCAGCGGCGCGCAAGAGGGAGCAUGUGGCCUCGGCUCUGAAGCAUGCUGGCCAGAGGAACCCUGUAGGAGUGGUUGGUCCAGUCGGGGCUGCAGUGUCCUGCCUUGCAGCAUGGCCAGUUCCCAUACGAGCCGAAGGCCUCGUGUUUAGGGGGCUGGGUGCUAACCUGGAGCUGCAGACGGAGGAGGAGUUUUAGUUAUUGCACCCUGGCAAGCCACUCACUCAUCCAACUAUCAGUGGGUUUGACAGAGGAGACAGCCACAGUGCACCGGUGCAGUCCGGGACUGAAGCUCUGUCAGAUCAUCGGGCAGGCGGGAAACCCGGAAGAAGGACGGGAGAGCGUGAGUGAGAUUGUGAGUGAAGCGCCUGGAAGCGCAGAACCCUGUUCUGCAGGAUGGACCCAGCCCUGUCUGCUGUCCGGCUCACCGUCCAGGAAGCCAUUCACAUCCUUUCAUCCUCAGAGGAUGCUGGCCAUAUCCUUUCUACCCUGGGGACUCUGAAACGAUACCUCGGUGGAACCGAGGAUCCAGUUCUUCCUGAGGAGAAGGAGGAGUUUGCCACUGUCCACUUCUCAGCCGUCCUUAGAUGUCUGGUCAGCAAGCUGAGCCCAGGUUGGCUGGAGCUGUCCCCCGGUGGCCAGCUGGAGCGGCUUUGGGAGAGCUUCUUCCUGGAUGGCCCUCCAGACCAAGCCUUCCUGGUGCUGAUGGAAGCCAUUGAGAGCACUGCUGGCCCUAGCUUCCGUCUGAUGAAGAUGGCUCAGCUGCUGGACACAUUUCUGAGCACGGGCAGAGUGGCUGCUCUAAUGGAGGAGCAGUGUCGGCCACAGACAAAGCCCAGCUUUCCCCUGUUCCAGGAGACGCUGCUCAGCAAGGUUGUGGGCUUACCUGAUCUCCUGGGCAACUGUCUCCAGCGGGACAACCUGACCCAGUUCUUCCCCCAGAACUACUUCCCUCUGCUUGGCCAGGAGGUUGUGCAGGCACUAAAGGCAGUUGUGAACUUUCUCCAAGAUGGCCUAGACUGCUCUGUCUCCUUCGUAUCUCGAGUUCUUGGGAAGGUCUGCAUCCAGGGCCGAAAGAGAGAGAUCCUGAGUGUGCUGGUGCCCCAGCUGACAGUGCUCACCCAGGACAGCUGUCUGUGGCAGCGGGUGUGCUGGCGCCUGGUGGAGCAGGUGCCUGACCGGGCAGUGGAGGCUGUGCUGACAGGACUUGUAGAGGCUGCUCCCAGGCCUGAAGUCCUGUCACGACUACUAGGGAACCUGGUGGUGAAGAAUAAGAAAGCGCGGUUUGUGGUUACCCGCAAGCUCCUGCUCCUGCAGUACCAGCACACGACACCCAUGGUGCAGAGCCUGUUGGGGUACUUGGCUCUAGACAGUCAGCGGCGGCCACUCCUCAUACAGGUGCUUAAGGAGCUGCUGGAGACCUGGGGCUGCAGCAGUGCUGUCCGACACACACCCCUGGAGCAGCAGUGUUACAUCAGCAAGGCCAUCCUUGUCUGCCUGGCACACCUCGGGGAGCCGGAGCUGCAGGACAUCCGGGAUGAAUUGCUGGCCAGCAUGAUGGCAGGCGUGAAGUGCCGCCUGGAUAGCAGCCUGCCCCCUGUGCGCCGCUUGGGCAUGAUUGUGGCCGAGGUCAUCAGCUCCAGGAUCCACCCUGAGGGGCCUCUCCUGAAAUUCCAAUAUGAAGAUGACGAGAUGAGCCGUGAGUUGCUGGCUUUGGCUACCCCGGAGCCUGCGGGUGACUGCUCCUCGGUGUCACGAGGCCCAUCCCCAGCUCCUGUUGACACAGAGUCUCCUGUAGAGAUGCCAGAAAAGGCCGUGGAGAGUGAUGUCCCCCCAACUCAGCCUCAGGGCUCUGACUCGGAGCUGGACAGUGACGAUGAGUUCAUCCCCUAUGACAUGUCAGGGGACAGAGAGCUGAAGAGCAGCAAGGAGCCCCUGUAUAUCCGAGACUGCGUGGAAGCUUUGACUACAUCUGAGGACAUGGAACGCUGGGAGGCGUCCCUAAAGGGGCUUGAGGGCCUGGUAUAUAGGAGCCCCACGGCCACUCGGGAGGUGAGUGUGGAGCUGGCCAAAGUGCUACUGCACCUGGAAGAGAAGACCUGUGUAGCAGAGUUUGAGCAGCUGCGCCAGAGCGCUCUGGUAGCUGUUACAGUCACAGACCCGGAGCAGGUAGCCAAGUAUCUGACCUCACAGUUCUAUGGCCUAAACUAUAGCCUCCGCCAGCGCAUGGACAUCCUGGACGUCCUUGUUCUGGCUGCCCAGGCACUGUCUCGGCCAAAGAGCCUGCAGAGACGUUCCCAGCACGGUCCCCCCGUUCCUGGCACCAUGUGUUCACCAGCACUAGCCGUUUCUCAGACUGGCAAUGUCGCUGCUCCUGACUGGCAGGUGGUUGUGGAGGAGCGGAUCAGAAGCAAGACCCGGAGGUUCUCGAAGGGCUGUCCUCAGCGGGAGCUGUCAGGCGUCCCCAAUGAAUUCAGCUCUGUGGCUGGCUACUUCUUCUUCCCCCUCCUUCAGCACUUUGACAGGCCUCUGGUGACCUUCGACCUUUUAGGAGAUGAUCAGUUGGUACUUGGAAGACUGACCCACACCUUAGCGUCCCUGAUGUACCUGGCUGUUAACACCACAGUGAGUUGGAAAUGAGGACUGGAAGCCCUGCCAUGUAGUUUCACAGCAGUGCAGUUGUAAGGAUGAUCUCCGGUGCUCACGGGACAGGACCUGAGCUCUGCGUGGCUCCUGUGGGGAGCACUGGACCCGCAGAAUACAUCGUCCCCUGCCUUUGACCCUAGGGGCAGUCUGUGCAGAGCUCCAUGAGGCACUGCAUGCCUCCCCACUCAGAGGCGCGCCCUGACUAGGUGGCUGUGCCUAUGGGUAAGGCCCUGCUGGAGUUUGUAUGGGCCCUUCGCUUCCACGUUGACAUGUGAGUGGCCCACGGGGCUAAGCACAGCAUAGUCUCCAAGGCAGCAUGCCCGACAUUUCCUAACAAGUAGUCCGUCCUGCCUGAGGAGGCCCAGAUAGGGCUGCAAUGAGCUUUAUUGCAGUUGGCCUGCUGGACUCAAUCCGUAUGGGAGGCCCUUCCCAUAGGCUAGUUGGGGUUUCAUUCACAAAGCCGUGCCUCACCUUUCCCCACCCUCUUGAUUGGUAGUUACGUGCGCCGGGGCUUGCUGUCUGCUGUGUCCUCUGUCCUCCUCAGUGUACCCACAGAGCGGCUGCUGGGGGACCUGCCAGAUGAGCUACUGGAAGCCAGAUCCUGGUUGGCAGAUGUGGCUGAGAAGGAUGUGGACGAGGACUGUAGGGAGCUGGCAGUAAGGGCUCUGCUGCUUCUGGAGAGACUCAAAGACAAGCUCCUGUCCAGUUCCUCUCCACAGCCCUGAGGAGUCUCCACAGGGGCCCGAAUGGAGCCUGGGCCAUCAGCACUGGAAGAAGGGAAGACCUCUGACAAGCAGAGUCCACACGCCUGGGCUCUAUGUGGAGAGGCUGCUGGUCCCUGUGUGCAUGAAGUAGGCUCCUAUCAAUCUGACCCCUGCUGUUAACUUAUUCCUUGGCCAGGCUAAGCGUUCAGCUAAAAAUACUGGGGGGUCUGUGCCAAGGGACACAACAACCUUUGACAGAAUUGGGGCUGGGGUGUGGGGCCCGAGACCUGCCUCCUGAGAGCAGAACUUUGGGCUCUAUGGGCAGGGCCUCAAGAGUAAAGACAGGAGACAGCUACUCAGUCUUUACUAUACUCGGAUGGGGAUGUUAGCUGCUGGCUCCCCAUGGGCUGUGCAACACUUGUGUUCCUGUGAGAAUAAACAGGCUACAGAUGACACACA